UACGGAACAGAGAGAUCUGUUAUUUUAAGACUGGGAGCUGACCCAGUAGUUUCUCACCUGCCUCCUGGCCCCUGGAGGACUCAGCUAGUAGUGGACUCAAAGCAGAUUUACUCACCACCACAAAAGAGCUGCUGGCACUGCUCCCAUUUCUCUGUACGUGGUCCCCAGAUCCUAGAGGAGAACUGGGUGACCUGAAGUUUCUACAUAACCGCCUGUUUCUUCGGAUCCUUUGGGCUCCCGGAGCAGUCUCUUGCUGGUUCCACUGACCUGCCAGGAUCCUGUCAGCGGUGGAGUGGCCACAAUGGAGGGGACAGAAGUUGCCCGAGGAGUUUAACUUUGUGAACGACGUGCUGGAUCAGGGGACACACAUGGACAAGGCGUGGGAGUGACAUGAGAAUCUCCGACACAGUGUGGUGUAUGUCAGAUACAGGCUGGGUGCUGCAAAUACUGAGAUCAGGUUUUUUGGUACUCCACAUGCCACAACCAUCAUCAACAUAAGGAAGACCACUGUUCCCAUUGUUGAAAAGUGUACAAAAUCAACAGCAGAAUGAAAUUCUGUACCAAA